GAUGAACGCUAGCUACAGGCUUAACACAUGCAAGUCGAGGGGUAACGAGAGGAAAGCUUGCUUUCCUUGUCGACGACCGGCGCACGGGUGAGUAACGCGUAUCCAACCUGCCCCCAACUAGGGAAUAACCUUACGAAAGUAAGACUAAUACCCUAUAAUUUCCUCAGAUGUCAUCUGACGAGGAAUAAAGAUUUAUCGGUUGUGGAUGGGGAUGCGUCGGAUUAGCUUGUUGGCGGGGUAACGGCCCACCAAGGCAACGAUCAGUAGGGGUUCUGAGAGGAAGGUCCCCCACAUUGGAACUGAGACACGGUCCAAACUCCUACGGGAGGCAGCAGUGAGGAAUAUUGGUCAAUGGGCGGAAGCCUGAACCAGCCAAGUAGCGUGCAGGAUGACGGCCCUAUGGGUUGUAAACUGCUUUUAUACAGGAAUAAAGUUAGCCACGUGUGGUUAUUUGUAGGUACUGUAUGAAUAAGGACCGGCUAAUUCCGUGCCAGCAGCCGCGGUAA
rnacentral:rRNA from 1 species